CCCAAGUGCCACUCUUAACGGGGUGGUUUUUCUGAAGUGUAAAAAGCUUCAGGAAUAAGAGCUGGGCAAGACCGGUGCCAGCCGCCGCGGUAACACCGGCAGCUCGAGUGGUGGCCGUUUUUAUUGGGCCUAAAGCGUUCGUAGCCGGCCUGAUAAGUCUCUGGUGAAAUCCCA
rnacentral:rRNA from 1 species